rnacentral:tRNA from 1 species
UGGCUCAGAGGUUAAAGCAUCUGCCUGGAAUGCUGGAGACCUGGGUUCGAUCCCUAG